AACUCGCAUUGCAGGAGCCGAAACUACAUACAUGGGUCAAGGAGCUUCCCAUCCCCCCAAAAUGAGCGCCAAGAUGAGCUUCUGAAGCAGUAUCCUCUCCCUGUGAAAGCUAUUCUUCGUCCAAACACGAAUCCAGAUGGGUCUGACAUUCCGUGGAUGCCUGGUUCUGAUUUCGAUUUUCCUGAUCCUAAGUGUGGCUCCUUGAUUAGGGAGCUCUAUGAGGCAAUGAGCAACCAGGAGAAGGACCAAAUCACUUGGUAUCGGCAUUUGGUAUGGAAAUCUUGCGGUAUUAAGGUCGACCUCUCGGCUUCUCUUCCAACUAAAUCAUGAAGCUCCAUUGAUGUAUGUAUUGCAUUAGUUUGAGAUAAUUAAUGAUCCAUCCAUAUGUAACUCGAUCUCUUUUCAUAUCAUUAUCCAUGUUGUAUGUUCCCUACUCCCUACCUCUCAAUUUUAUUUCAUUUUGCAAUUGUUUAGAUCAAACAUAGCAUACAAUAGUCAAUUGGAACACAAAUAUCAAACCAUUGUUUUAAACAUC